UGGCCAUUGGGACGCCUGGGGAGACUUGCCAAGCUGCCAAAAUAUUUGGACACCCAAAUGCUAGUGUUCAAACGCAUUUCUCCAUCAGGAUUCUGACUUCAUCCUCCUACUGCAUAUUUCUGCACCAUGUCCUUGCUUUCUGUCCUUGCAUCGUGACGCGUACCGGUGCGGCUUCGUGCCCCAUCGGAGAUGGUUAUCAGCACAAUGAUUUAAUGCCAAGCAAUGCAAGCAGGCAGUGUAAUGUCAGUGCUAUCUCUGCUCUCACCCCUCCAGCACUUUCAUAUCCUGCCGUGGUAACGCAAAGGAUUAAAGCAAAGAUGGGAGUGCUGAUGGAAGGGAGUGGUGUUGAUCUCAUCUCGUGUGCUGGUCCCACACUCCGCACCCAUUACAAUGAAAGAUCUUGUUCUGCAAGCACCACGGCUGAAAUAAAGGAGCUGUAUCUUCAUCACAGCCAUUUCUUCUAUCAAGGAGCUCCCAUGGGACAUCUCUCAGGAAAACAAGGAUGCAUCGGAGAACCGGCAACACAUCUCCACCAGAUAAUUAGAUUGAAAGAAAACCACCCCUCUGAAGACAAUGAGAUGAUAAAAGAGAUCAAGGUCCCUGGGAAAACUUAAUCCUCCGCUGUUUUCCAUUACUUCUCAGGUUAUUUCACUCUGCUAUUAAGAAAUUUGAUGUGCUGAUGAGUAGGAGAGAAAGCUUCCGGACUUGGAGGAAAAAAAAAAUGUUGUGUUGUGUGAGGACAGUCUAUUAAAGAUUCAGCAAUUGUACAAACCCCACAGGUAGAGAGUCCCCUGGGAUUUCUGGUAGAACAAGGCUGAUGAAAGCCUGGCACUGGAGGCAUCCUGCAACCACCCUCAAAAACAGAAGAUAGGAACUUCUCUUGUGUAACUGGUGAUAGGACUAGAGGGAAUGGUUUCAAGCUGCGCCAGGGAAGAUUCAGGCUGGAUAUUAGGAAAUACUACUUCUCUGAAAGGGUGGUCAGGCACUGGAAUGGGCUGCACAGGGAGGUGGUGGAGUCACCGACCCUGGAGGUGUUCAAGGAACGUUUGGAUGUUGUGUUGAGGGAUAUGGUUUAGCGAGAACCAUUGGUGAUAGGUGGAUGGUUGGACUGGAUGAUCUUAUAGGUCUUUUCCAACCUUAGUGAUUCUGUGAUUCUGUGAUUCUGUGAAUACAGACCUGCCUCUCCACCCAAACCCAACGCUGGUAUGUGUCUCAUUGACCACC
rnacentral:lncRNA from 1 species